GUCGGUCCCAAGCCCGAAUGAAAAAGGUGGAGGGUUGCUUAAGGCCAUAAAAAGCCAGUGUUGAAAACAUGUUAGUACUCAUAAGCAUGAUCCUAACUGUUUCAUGGUAAGACUAGUCCGUCACAAUAAAUUGAUGCAACAUAUAUUGACCUCUCCAGUUAUUAUGAGAAAUAGAGUUUUCUAUUCCUAGUUCUAACAUUUAAAGUGCCCAUUAGUUCUUUAAAUCAAGGUCUACAAUACCGAAUGAUACUGCUCGUACCGGGCGGUACAUACCGGUCCGUCAAUAGACCAGUACACGGACAGCCCGCUACCGAGCGGUACCAUCAAUUAAGGCAUUAUCGUUAUCGAUUGAGGUGUUAUUAUCGACGGUGAUCGAGGGAGAAGAAAGAAGAGGGAGAAGACGAAGAAAGAAAUAGGAAAAAAAGGUAAAACCUGGAUGUCACCUCUCUCCUCCUCGUCUGUCGACGACUUCUCAUCUGUGCACGGGAGAAGAGGCAUCGGCUUGUGGGGCGGAGAGAAGCGAAGAUUUUUUUUUUUCUUCUCUUAUUGGGCAAUGUCGCCUCGGGCAUCAUCGCAAUAUUUUUGUUUUUUAGAUGUCGUAAUUUUUUUUUUAUCUGCACGUCACCCCGCAUAGAGGUAAACUGUGCAGCUUACCUAUAUAUAUAUAUAUAUAUAUAUAUAUACAUAUAUAUAUAUACAUACAUAUACACACACACACACAGCGGUAUACCAAAAUAUACCACUCGGUAUAUAGUAUCAUACCGUAUCAAAUAAGUCUUGAAAUUUUGGUAUAGUACAAAAUUUCAAUCCUUGAUUUAAGUGACUUCUUUUAUGGACUAACAUGCAAAUAUCGGGACUGUGUAACUUAUAUAUCAUGAACUAGCAUUGUCCAUAAUGUAAGUUACUUAUAUAAGAAACCAACAAGUAUGCUUUCUAUGGAUGAUAAUUGUUAGGACGGGAAACCACAGCAUGUGGAUAAGGCUCUUAAUGGUGAAAUUUUAUAGGUUGGAUCAAGGUAUGCAAUACCGUACCGUAUUAGUAUUUCGAGGUUGGCUCGGUAUGGUAUAGUACCGUAUACCGAGCGGUACGUCAGGGUGUACCGAGCGGUACACCUAAUUUAGGUGUAAGACCCUCCGAAAAUACCUAAAAAUAAAAUAAAAGUUAGGAUAGGAUUUUUAUGUUAGAAAUAAAUAUAGUAAUAGCAUAAGUUUAGUAAAAUCAAUGUAAAUUAGGUAAGAAUAGUAUCAUAUAUCUUUUUCAGGCUUUGAAGAAUAUCUUAUGCAAGGUUCAUAUUUCAGUUUAGUACGGAUUAUCCUUAUGUAAACAUACCUCUUGAUUAGAAAGUUCUUCCUCUUAAUCUUCCUAAAUUAGCCUCGAUUCAAUUUACAAAUCGUUGUUUUGUAGAGUUUAGGAGAGAACAAAUGUGAGAAAAAAAGAGUUUGAGAUAGUUUAAGAGAGUAUGAGAAUGUAAUGGAGUGAAAUAAAGGAGAAGAAGGGUUUUUAAAUAUCAUAAGAAAGGGUUCCAAUGGUCAAUUUGACCAUUGGAGCACUGUAUCACUGUUACCGAGCAGUUUUAAAUAUUUCUUCCUCUUACUGUAGCAUUGUAGCACUCUAGCAUGUUCUGUCCGGUAGCGGGUGGUCCGCAAACCGGUAUGUCGUCGGACCGGUACGUAUCGCCCGUACCGGUUGGUAUCAUUCUAAAUUGGUUGGAUUAAGAUUGACAAUCCUUGGAACAUGAUGAGGUAAACUACUCCACUCUAUUUGACUUUGUGAACUAAAACUUGAUGGUUAAUUUUUUUUUUAACUUUUUAUUGGCAGCUGUAAUGACAUAUAUGAAUCUCCAAUUGAAUUGUGAGAGACACGAUGGCUAUGUAGGUCCAUCUUCUCAAAGGAUUUGGACUGCCAUUUAAAUGAACAAGUCUCCACAUUGUUAGUUACAGAUGUUCUUCUGUUUCUUCUUUGCAUUUUGUUCUGUAAUAUUUUGUGUCAAACAUUGAAAUAAUUAUAGAUGAUGUGUUCCAUAUUACUUAAUAGAAAUUCUUUUGCUUUUUGGCUUUCCACGUGUUUAAAAGUGUUCUUUCUUAGUUUAGAGGAUUCCACAAUAAGUUUAUGAAGAAACUAAUGUUAAUUAAAUUAUUUUUUCAUGCAUAUUAUGUGAAUGGAUAUGGUUUCUUAUCAAAUCAAUUUACAGCCUGAUUUGGCAAUUUUGUACUUGAAUAGUUGGGUCUGUCUUCAAUAUUUGAUGAAAUUGUUAAAACUGAAGUAACCAGGCACAUGCAACCUACUGAUUACUUGAGCUUGUUUGGGGAAGAAUUCAAAUGAACUGAAGAUUAUUGGGAUGCUUCUUAUUUGAAUGUCUUGGAUAUAUCUGCAGCGGAAGAAGGCAGUCCUCAUGUCUUAUUUGGAUGUGCUUCACAAGUAUGUUCUAAAUGAUCACCUACCCUAUAAUGUUUUUUAAACUAAGUAUCCUGUUUUUUUCCUAUUGGAAUAACUUUUAGCCACCAGGAGUCUGCUUCUGUAACUAAUUUGUCGAGUGUUUACAUUCUUUUAUAAUGAAUAGAUAGCCUCUCCUGUUCUGCAAAUUGGCUAACAGUAAUUUAAAAUUUUGGUCCCUAUUACCACUUAUACAAGCACUGCUUCCAGGUGAAAGGUCUCUGUUUUAAGUUAAAACUUUUAACACCUUUUACUAGUUUAUAUAUUAAUUAAUUUGGAUGGAUUCUGAUUUCCUUUCAUUUGAUGGCACGUCUUCCUCCAAUUAGCCUCCUAAAUCAAGUUGAUGAUAGUUUUUCUUUGUGGAAACAUCCUUUUGUCCAGCAUACUCUCUCUCAGGUUCAGCAGUGAUGCAUCUGGGUGAUAUACGUUACAUGCAUUUGUAUUCUUAUCAAAAGUCUCAACAAUUCAUAUUAAUUUGUUGUUGCAGAUAAUAAUAAUGUCAUCGUCAUCUUCUUAAUGCUUGUGCGGGCUAUCUGUCUUCAUUCUUAUCAUCUCGUGUUUGUUGGUUUCAUACCAAGUUUAAUUAUGAAUAGACAACUUACUUUUUGGCUUUCUAAGUAAGCAUUUAUUUUUCAAUCUUCAGGCAAAAGCAGCAUGUGUAUUGAUUGAUUUAUGCUUUGGACCAUUAUCACCAUGGAUAUAUACAAUUACUGCAAAGUGUACUCCUUUUUGUUUUGGGGCCACAUAUGCCAUUUCCUUCAGAUAUUGACCUUUGCAAAUGUUCAUUUCCUAAGGUGGCUGAUCAAGAGUCUUUAGCUGUUUCUUCUUUGUGAUAUGUUCUCAUGGGGCUUCUAGCACAUCCAGUAAUCCGGAUGAAGCAAAGAGAAAGAUUGAUGCAUCUAAAGCUGCCACAAGAAAAGAUGUACUCCAAGAUGCUAAUCUGUAGUUUGCUCCUAGAGAUCUGUCAAAAAUUGUUCUGACAAGUGUUUCAAAUUAUUUUACUGGGGACUGGAUCAGAUUGAAUUUCAGUUGUGGUGUUUCAGAGGUGAAUAAGAUUUCAAAUAACAACUUUCAGAAUAUUGGUUUCUUUGCUGAUUACUUGUAUUCACAAGCAGAUUAUCUACAACUUGUAAACUAUCAAGAUUCGGUAUAUAGGGCUUCCCAAUUUGAACAUUUGGCAGCUGAUUUGUGUUCCCAGCAUGACAACCCCAGAAAGCCAUGAAGCUGCAAUAGAAUCCAUACUCUUGGCUGCAGAAUGUUAUGCCAACUCAUUCUUUAUAAUCGAUUUCAUAUGGAUGCAAUUCAGAGCUUAUGAAUCAGAUGAAAAUCAUUGGAUCCAAAUUCAUGAAUAAAAAUGGAUUAGUGGUGUUUUAUGAAGACCUUAAGAGAUGUAAUGUCAAUCUGGAGACAAUAGCUUAUCUUGAAAGUAAAAGAGAUAUAACUGUUCUACAAAUUCUGCUUCCGCUAAACUGGACCUCGAAUCUGAGAGAAUUUUGGCUCUUUGGAAACCUUGUACAUAUUAUUUUGAAGAUAAUCAGUAGGCUUUAGAAAUAUCACAAGUCGACAUUGAAUCUGAUGUGGCAACUUUGAUUAGGCAGAAUCAACCAUUGCUUUGCCACUUUGUAAUCCUCCUACAGAGUCUCCCCUCUUUCUACUGCAUUCUGCAACUGAGUUAUCCUGUUCUGUAGAGAAUGUUAAUGACAUUAUACUGCAGUCAGCUGCAAAUCUUAGUGGACAACUUACAAUUUUGUACACCCAACUGAAAGCAGGCAACAUACAACUUGAAAUGGUAAAGUUACAUGGGCUGCCAAGGUGCUGGGCACUUCUUGAAAGAUUAAUCUGGAAAUGAUGAACGGACAUAUCCCAUUGGUAUCAAAAGUGCUGGUUUCAUCUACAGAACUUUAGUUCCACAUUUAUCAUGGAUGCAGAAAAUAUCUAGAUUUUCAAGUUGCACAUGUUCAUUUUCUAGAUUUUUAGGAUGGAUGUCAGUAUCUUGAAAUACAAAGCAAUACUUGAAGGAACACUUGUUUAUUGCC